ACGGCGAGUGAAGAGGGAAAAGCCCAAAUUUGUAAUCUGGCUCUUUCAGAGUCCGAGUUGUAAUUUCAAGAACUGUUUUCCGUGCUGGACCAUGUAUAAGUCUGUUGAAACACAGCAUCAUUGAGGGUGAUAAUCCCGUUUAUGAUAUGGACUACCAGUGCAAUGUGAUACAGUUUCUAAGAGUCGAGUUGUUUGGGAAUGCAGCUCAAAGUGGGUGGUAAAUUCCAUCUAAGGCUAAAUAUGGGUGAGAGACCGAUAGCAAACAAGUACCGUGAGGGAAAGAUGAAAAGAACUUUGGAAAGAGAGUUAACAGUGCGUGAAAUUGUUAAAAUUGAAACACUUGAAGUUAGCCUUGUUAUUGUCAGUUCAGCCCUUUUCUAGGGUGUAUUCUGAUGAUUAACAGACCAACAUCAGUCUUUGGGUGCUGGAUAAGGAUCUUGGAAACGUAGCAGCUUUGGCUGUGUUAUAGUCCUUGAUAUGGAUACAGUGCUUAGGACUGAGGAAUGCAGCAAGC
rnacentral:rRNA from 1 species